rnacentral:snRNA from 1 species
GUGCUCACUUCAGCACAUGUACUAAAAUUGGAAUGAAAAACUGAAGAUUAGCAUGGCCCCUGUGCAAGGCUCACAUGCACAUUUGUGAAGCAUUCUAUAUAUUU